rnacentral:rRNA from 1 species
AAAUUAAAAAAAAAUAAUGGAAAAAAAAUGAAAAAAUUAAAAAAAAAUGAAAAAACAACGAAUAGACCAGUUCCUGCCUUCG